rnacentral:misc_RNA from 1 species
GAUGAAGAACGUAGCGAAAUGCGAUAAGUAAUGUGAAUUGCAGAAUUCAGUGAAUCAUCGAAUCUUUGAACGCACAUUGCGCCCGCCAGUAUUCUGGCGGGCAUGCCUGUUCGAGCGUCAUUACAACCCUCAGGCCCCCGGGCCUGGCGUUGGGGAUCGGCGCAGCCCCCCGUGGGCACACGCCGUCCCCCAAAUACAGUGGCGGUCCCGCCGCAGCUUCCAUCGCGUAGUAGCUAACACCUCGCGACUGGAGAGCGGCGCGGCCACGCCGUAAAACACCCAACUCUUCUGAAGUUGACCUCGAAUCAGGUAGGAAUACCCGCUGAACUUAAGCAUAUCAAUAAGCGGAGGA